GCCUGGGUGGCUCAGUCGGUUAAGUGUCUGACUUCGGCUCAGGUCAUGAUCUCACAGUUCGCGGGUUCAAGCCCCAUGUCAGGCU
rnacentral:tRNA from 1 species